rnacentral:lncRNA from 1 species
CUGUGGCAUGCGCAGAGUGAUCAGUGUGGGUCGGGAGCAGCGGAGAUCAUCGACUGCAUAGAUCCAAUCAGGCCUAUUACCGGGUUCAACAAGAAGCGGCAGCUGGGUUCGCAGUUGGCGACGAGCUUGCCGGUGGCGCUGUCGUAGGUCUCCAUGGUCUCCACCAGGAAGUCUGGCUCGGGGUUUUCGAUGAGCGGGUCAACGCAGCAGGUCGGCUGCCAGAACCACCCUGGCUGGCAGCGAGUCCCCGGCCACUGCAGGAGUCACGAUCCGUUAGACUUCAUUAACAGUUUACCGUACAAGAAAGGCUUUCUGUAAAGCCGAGAGAGAGAGAGAGAGAGAGGAAUAGGUACUAUGAGAGACAGGAUCAUGUAGUCGUAUGAAGCAGCUGCUAGCGCACAAGAGGCGGCGCACAAGAGGAAGCAGAACGUGGGAAGAGCCUUUGAGCCAGCCAUUCUGCAGAGGUGGAGAGGAUGAUCGGGGGAGAGACGCUUCGUGAGGUGAUGAGUCUGAUGGCUCUAUAUAAGCACUACAUUGAAGACACACCCACCUACUGAUAAUUGUUGGACUAAUAAUGCACCGCGAUUGCUGUUAGGGGGGUCUUAAAAUAAUGCACUUCGCAUAAAAUGUCGUACACCAACAUGAAACAUGAGGGACAUUCCCGCAUAUCGCAAGCAUAGUGGGUUGCAAAAUGCAAGGAAAGAAAGUAAGGAAUUUAUUUGAUUAUGGUCUCUCAUAGCUAUAAGAUUAUGGUCUCUCGUAGCUAUAUGGACUAUGUGACAUCGUCAAACCACGAUGUCACCUCCACCCUCCACCCCACCAGCCACUGGACCCUUUCCAUACAUUACAAUCAUUAAUCUUGAUGGAGGUGAACGAGAGAUAAUCAUAAGUAUUUUUCCUCUCUUCUCUUUUGUAUGACUCAUCGUAUUAGAUAUUAUCGUACGCUUCACGCACAUAUUGUUUUACUCACCUGAUCGAGCAACGAUAAUAGUGUGAUAGAAGCGAGCAAGGGAUACUCCUUCGACUAAGGGGCUUGAAAUCUAAGAGAUAGAAAAGGGAUUGAGGAUAAAGACACGAGCAAGAGAUAAUAUAAUUUUAUGACGAAUAAGAGUUAAAGAGUAAGAUGAGAAUGACUAUAUGAUGCGAAUAAAACAAAAAAGUGACAUUAGUAGAAUAAAAAGUAAAAAANNNNNNNNNNNNNNNNNNNNNNNNNNNNNNNNNNNNNNNNNNNNNNNNNNNNNNNNNNNNNNNNNNNNNNNNNNNNNNNNNNNNNNNNNNNNNNNNNNNNCGUGUUAUUAUCUAUCGGCAAACAAUUGACUUGAUAAUUGAUAAGGCAUAUAUUUAGGAUCUCGGCCACGUCGCGAUCCACGCCACGUCACACUCCUGCAGAUUCAACACAAGGGUUGCCUUCCUUCCACGUCGAGUUGGAGCUCGUAUAGGGAGGCACCCUCUCAACAAGUCCCUUCCCAGAAAGCUUGGGACGUUGUCCCAUGGCGUCGUUCCGCGCAUACCGGGUGACGAUUACACGAAGGUACGAUCUUGGGGGUAUCGAUCGUCAAGUCAAAUCCGCGUAUAAUCGAUCCUCGGACAAUAGUAUAAAAUCCCUUGACCGGCAUCUGGCUAGGAGACAAAGAACAGAAGAAAAAAAUCACUGACUUAGUCUACGAUGGGCCAAAGUCGGGAAUCUCCAGACCAGGGCGUGUGUGCAGGAACGUGGCCACCCCCGAACUAGCUCAAUCCCUCAUUGGAGAUGCGACCAUCCUGGCCGUUGAUCCAGACGCGACCAUCCCGACCCCUGAUCCAACUCGGCCUCGAUGCUUCUUCCAAUCGAUCGAGAGGCGCACUCCCGAACGUCGAAAACUCUGGACAUCGACAUGUGAACCAAAACGUGCCGACUCCUCGACCACGGCACGUAAGUUCACCAACAAAAAUAACGACGCAUUGUUGAAACAUUGAUUAUAAUCAAAGAAGAACGUUCUCAAAAUUAUUUUAAAAAAUAUUUUAUUUCUACCUAAUUAGUCAAUUAUUUAAAAUUUUUUUGAUGAUCAAUUCAUUUUCACUAACUCAGUAAAAUAUAAUAUUUGAAGAAAAUUAUACUGAAGAUAGAAUGUAAUAAAUGUAAUUAUAUAUAUAUAAUUAAUAUUUUUAAAAUAUAUUAAAUCGGAUAAUUUUACGGAAUAAGGUUUUGAGUCGUUCGAUGUAUGACUCUGUUAUAUCAAUAUAAGAUGAUAUUUUAGAUAUUAAAAAUAUAUACGAGACAACAUUUUGGUGCAGUUAUAUAUGUUUAAGAAAGACCACUUUUAUUACUGCAGGUGUGAAGAAGAUGCGACUCUACAACUCGGGAGUAAAAGACGAAGCGACAGCUCACAUCACCAUAAGUGCAAGCAUGUGGAUCACGCCAAGCAGAAGAAGACAGGCUUAAAGCAGUUCCUCCAUCACAGUGCCAUCUCGUCGCCGGAGGGCAACUCGAUCACUGUCUUGGAAACGGCGUCGUCUUCACGGCCUUGCAGUGGGUACGACACAGGGGGGAACUUGACCGUGUCGCCGCAGUUACUCUCCCUGCCGUUGGGGCAGCCGAUGAUCGACCUCCCGUCGCUGGAGACGCAGACGCGGAUCUGGUAGAGGUAGUCUUCGUAGAAGAAAGGCCAGAGAAUGUAAUUCCUGGUGCACACCACCGUGAACGAGAACCCGAUCCUGGGCACCAACGCGUCGUUGAUGUCGUCCAGGCUGUAGCUCUUCGUCGCGUGCGGUAUGAUCCCACUCGAGCCCAGGUUGACGAGGGGGUCCACCUUCUUCCUGAGUUGAAGCGCCCGGUCGAAGUAGAGCGACUGGUUGAGGCUGGAGCAAGUGCCGUAGGUGCACCACACGUCCUUCCAGUGGGGCAUCCCGCUGUUGCUGGGACAGGUCAGGUUGGCGUAGUACGUGUACAAGUUGUCGAGCAUGUUCACCAGCUGUCCAAACAAGACAAAGCGGUCAUCAUCGACAUCUCGGCCGAGUUAGCUCGGGUGGAGGAGGCUAACGAGACUCACCGGAAGUAUCUUGAAGACGCAGCUUCUGCUGCAGCCGGUGACCGGUUUACCGGUGGCGCUGUCGUAGGUUUCCAGGGCUUGGACGAGGAAGUCCGCCGCCGGCUCGCCAUUCGUCGGCAUACAGCACUUCCCUGUCGGUUGCGAGCUAGCACAGUAGCUUCCUGGCCACUGCAGUGAGAAGGACAUCAUACCAUCACCCAUCUUGCCAUCGAUGGUUACCACUACUGCAGGAAACCAGAACCAAGUAGAGGGUAACUAUACCAUAAGUUUCAAGAUCAGGUAGUCGGGCUUCGAAGCUGCCCUUGCCGCCGGAGAGGAAGACAAGCAUAACAGCAAGACAAGCAAGCAGAUCCCAGGAAGAGCCUUGAGGAUAGCCAUUCUGCAGGAGCUGUCGAGUUGCCUUGGUGAUGGUGGAUAAUAUAAGCCCAUCGUGGAACACACUGGUUGUGGCCUGGUGGUGGCGGGAUCCAUGGCAGCUCUAUCAAGAAAUGGCUGUCCUCGUCUCAGCCAUCAGCCUCUCCCCACGAGUUUCACGUGGCUUGCAGAUCUCAUCGCUUUCGAGAAAUGGUCGCCGUGCUGUUCACCACCAAUUUAAUGAUGACAUUAAAAUAAUGGCACAGUACAAGAUCAGAUGAUGUUCCAUGUGACUGACUUCUUUUAUUUGGACUCUCUCUCUCUCUCAUGAUUCGGGAACGGACAAGGAGAUGGAAGCAUUGAUUACAGUCGAGCCACCCAAACAACACCCCACUCCUCGCCAUCAAAUGUUCUUAUCUUCACAGACCGAACAUCAUUGAAGGGACUAAUAAGAAGAAGAUGGAUAGCAACCUGAUCGAAACAAGAACAAUGUUGAGAUGGGGAGGGGUUACGAACCGGUUCUGAGAAAGAUUUCUAGAUGUGAUUUCCUCUAAAGAAAUCAUGCAUUAAUUUGUUCUUGACCAAGUACAACAUGACUCGGAGAUUGGUAGACAAGAAAAAUGUAUUCAGAUCGUUCAUAAUUUCAUUUAAGAAAACCGAUCUAGAAGGAUUUUUUUUUGCGACAAUUAGGGAUUGAAAAUAGUCACGAUUAAGCCACUAAGUAGGGGUGAUGGUAAUUUCAGAACGGUCAAUUUUGAUUUCCGAAAUCAGCAACCGAGAAAAUAAAGAGUUAAAAAUAAUUAUAAUGAAUAUCAAAGUCUUUCCUCCAAUUACUAUAUGUUAGGAUAAAAAAUAUCGUUGAUGCGUGUAUUAGCAUGAUGUGAUCCUGAUCCGCAUACGAGGAGUCGAUAGAACAAGAUUUCUUCGAUCUCGUUCAUAUACAAAGACUAAGAUUGAAAGGGAUUUUCCGAGUUGAUUUAUCUAAUGCUUAACUUAGCACUUAGUUGCAUACAAAGACUUAUUUUUUUUUUAAUGAAGAUCCUAUAGAGAAAAAGUUCGAACUCAACUAUCUUUUUUAUUUUUAUGAUAUAUUUUUGUGAAUAUUUUUAUAGGAAAACUAGUUUAUAAUCAACUCAAACUACCUUUUAAUAUUCCUGAAAUAUUCCUACAAAUAUUUUGUAAGAAAGUCUGAAUUGUCUUAUGGGAAUAAUUCACGAUUAGCUAGUUUUUAAUUGAUCUGAAUUAUCUUCAAUUUUUUAUGAAUAUUUAAAUAUUUCAUCGAGGAGGUAGCUUAACAAAUCGGUAAUUGACCCGAGCUAUCUUUUGAGUUCGAAUAGAAAAUAUUGGCUUAAUAUGACAUUGACGUUACGAACGAUGACUAACCAAUUUAAUAUUUUCUUUCGCUAUGUGUAGUCAAACACUAUGUGAGUUGUGUUCAAACCACAAACUCUACGUAGCUAAAGAAAAAAAAAAAGGUAAGAUUAUUUUGUAUGAUCUAUAUUGAUCAAACGAUAAACAAGAAAAAAAUAGAAAAAGGUAAGAUAAGAUUAUUUUUUAUGGUCUCAUCGAAUAAAGUUUAUGUCGUCGAAACAAUUUCUAUGGUUACAAGAAUAGUGGAAGUCUCGUCAAGAGGAAACAAAAGAAUAUGGAAUAUGUGGAUCUCCUUUUUCCACGAAGGAGAGAUGGCAGAAGAAUUUUGUGUUCGAAUCCCAUCAUUUAUUUUGUAUCAAAAAAAGACACUAAUUCAACGAAAAGCUGAACACAAAUGAUGGAGAGAUGGAGUUUAGAUAUCAAACGUAUGGGAAUUUUACCUUCAUUAAGUAAAAUCCCAACUUGUUCAUGACAGGUAAUAUGCUCUGUUGUUAUUUGAUUAAUCUUAGAGACAGAGAUCAUAAAACAACAUCUUAUUCCAGUAGAUCGCAAGACGAUGAUGACAUCCUACACACAGGCAAUUCAUCAUGUUUGAGUGCCAAGAUGAUGAUGAUGACAUCCGCAUGACAAGAGGGCAGUAAUCCGUGGAUCGAUCACUGAGUCAUCGCCUUGUCCGAUGGCAACUUGAUGUGGUCGACCGCCGGAUGGCGCGGGCGCCCGAGCAUGUCGUCCGUGAACGGGUAGAACUUGACCUUGCUGCCGCAGUUGCUCUUCCUGGCGAAGGGACAACCGAUGAGAGACUUGCCGUCGGCGGAGACGCAGAUGCGGACUCUGGAGAGCAGGUAUUCCCGACUCAGCACGCCCAUCUCCGUGGUGCACUCCACCACCGCCGAGAACCCGAUCUUGGGCACCAGCGCGUCCUCGAUGUCCUCCAAACUGUAGCUCUUCGUCUCCGACGGGAUGAUGGCUUGAGAUCAGGAACAGAUCCAUGCGUUAGCUGCAGACACUUGUAAGCUCGAGGUCGGCGUGCAGGGCAGGGCUGCUUACCUUUGGAGCCGAGAGCACGGAGGAUGUCCACUCGAGCCCGGAGCUGAAGCGCCCGGCCGAAGUAAUUCACCUCGCUGAGGCUGGUACAGUUGCCGUAGGUACACCAGGCGGCCUUCCACACCUGCUUCCCGUUCUGGGCUGGGCAGCUCAAGCUGGGCCAGUAGGCGUUCAAGUCGUCCAACAGAUCGACAAGCUGUGGCAUGCGCAGAGUGAUCAGUGUGGGUCGGGAGCAGCGGAGAUCAUCGACUGCAUAGAUCCAAUCUGGCCUAUUACCGGGUUUAUCAAGAAGCGGCAGUUGGGUUCGCACUUGGCGACGAGCUUGCCGGUGGCGCUGUCGUAGGUCUCCAUGGUCUCCACCAGGAAGUCUGGCUCGGGGUUGCCGAUGAGCGGGUCAACGCAGCAGGUCGGCUUCCCGUUCCACCCUGGCUGGCAGCGAGUCCCCGGCCACUGCAGGAGUCACGAUCCAUUAGACUUCAUUAGCAAUUCACAGUAGGACUCAUCGAUUGCACAAGAAGGGCUUUCUGUAAAGCCGAAACAAAAGAGAGAGAGGAAUAGGUACUCUGAGAGACAGGAUCAUGUAGUCGUAUGAAGCAGCUGCUAGCGCACAAGAGGCGGCGCACAAGAGGAAGCAGAACGUGGGAAGAGCCUUUGAGCCGGCCAUUCCGCAGAGGUGGGAAGGAUGAUCGGGGGAGAUGAUGAGUCUGAUGGCUCUAAAUAAGCACGAAGACACACCCACCCACCCACCGAUAAUUGUUGGGCUACAUCGAUAUUGUUCUCGUGAGUAUAAUAUAAUAUAAUAUAAUGCACCUCGAUUGCGGCAUGGGGGUCGUAAAAUAAUGCACUUCGCUUUAAAUUUCGUACACCAACGUGAAACACGUGGGACGUUCCCGCAUCCCGCAAUCGUAGUGGGUUGGAAAGUGCGAGGAAAAAAAGAAGGAUUUUAUUUGAUUAUGGUCUCUCAUAGCAUAUUAUACUCUUCAUCUAAAUUAGGGAUUAAAAGGCUUCGAGACCAAGCAAGUGAAUAAUAAUAAAAUAAUAUAUUAAAAAAUCGAUCAAGAAAAAAUCCGUAAAAUAUUUUAUUCAUCUUUGAACAUGCUUUCGACCAUGCAUUAUUGAAACAUAUUCGUCCAUUUGAAAUAUCAUAUCUUUAAUCGCAUAUUACAUAUCAUAUGAAUUGGAUAUGUGUACUACCAUUAUUUUCCUUAAAUAAUAAUUUAAAUUUAUUAAAUUAAAAUUUAUGCCUGUGGACAUUAUUGUGUGAUCGGAACUGAGAACGAAGACUCGAACAAUGCAAAGGUCCGUAAGGUCUCGCCGAAUCAUCUUCCUUUGUCUUCCCUUUUACGCCAUCGGCGGUACCGAUGCAUUCGAUCCGGAGCUGGGCCUUCUCCGCCCUGAUCCUGGCUGUCACCGUCCUCUUCUUCUUCUUCUUCGACUGGCCGUCUCCUCCUCUUCAAGAAAUAGCCGGAGAUAUUCCUGGAUCCUUGAAUGACAUCGCUGUGACGGUAGGCCAUGGCUUCGAUUUCUUUCUCUCCCCUUCCUCUUCCCUUACCUUCUUUUCCCUUAGGAUAGGACAUAUUUUGGCCUUAUAUGAACCACCGAUAGACGUUGCAGAUCGACACAACACCGUACGCCUCCAAAACCGUGGGGUGCAUGCCACGUCAAGAGCCAACGAUGCAAUUGUGCGGCUUGACCACCUCAAAAGCUGGGGGCGGUGCCGUCUGCUGCUAGGGCAGUGUCGUCUGACGCCCCUCGAGCACCCUCGAAGAUGUCAUCUUGUCAGAGAGGUUGUUCCGCCCCUAGAGUUAACGACCAUAUCGGACCAGGGCCCGACCAAUUACCGCACGCAGGUAUAAAUACCCCCGACCUGAUCCAAAAAAAAGGGAGAAAAGGAUGAGAGAUUUAGAAUGAAUCUAACUUGCUCGUCGGAGGGGCCAAAGUUGGGACUUACCCUACGAGGGUCUUUUUGCAGAGAGGUAGUCGUCGCUGAGACGCGAAUGUCGUCUUCACACGGACGGUGCCCGGUACGCAGAGGAGGGUGGCCCAACGAGUCGGACUCGACAAGUGUCAGCCCGCAUCUCCCAUCUCCAAGAGGCUUCCACACCACAAGGAGGAUCCCCAACCAUCCGAGGGGAUGAGAGGACGCAUCUUCUCAUGAACAAUGCUCAUAUCGGCCAACUUUGGAAAGCCGGCUCACAGCGAGGCUCAGGCCGACCUUGCCACCUCAACCGGCGCUCAACGCGUUUAAGGGGCGCAACCACUCAAACGAUAGUAAUUCCGCCAGAAGUUCCCGACGUCGGCAGGUGGGCCUAGUCAUGCUGACAUAUUAGUCACGACAUGUUUGUUCACUAACAUUUUGGCCCUAGAAGAAGGGCCCAUGUCGCGGGAAUAGCUGGCAAGAACGUGCCCUGGGAGGGAACCCCCGACCGACCUCCCUUUCGCUGAGCCAGAAGGACAACCCCUCUCUACCCCUAUGGACGGAGGGAUACCGAUUUCAACGCUUGAUCGUUACUGGCGCUUGUUCAACGACCCGGGACUAUCCCCCCCGGGGCUCACCCCGGGGGGCCCGGCUGUGAUGCCCGAGGCAUUCCUUAGCCUAACCAAGCAAGUAUAGACCAUGACAGGCAUGAUGCACUCACUCGCCCCGAUCACUCCCCAAAUCGGGCAGCCCUCGAUGCCCUCGACCGAUCCGACCCGGCAACCCCCGAACGGGGAACAGCUCGGGGUUGGGCCAGCCUCGUGGCGAGCAACGGACCCGAGGGGUCCUCCCGUGCAAAAUGCGCCCACAGCUUGCUGAGCCACCCCAUCUCAUCUAGAGCCCGAUACUAUAUCAUCUGACUCGGCGAACGACUCACUCAGAGCUCAGUUGUCCCGGGUCAAUCAGCACCUGGACGAGUUCCAGCGUGAGCUUUGGAGAUUGCGUAGUGAGCCUAGCGAGGGCGCUUUGGUUGGGUCCCUCUUUACCCAAGAAGUACAAGAUAAGCCGGUCCCCCUCAACUUCAGGUUCCCGACAUUAGAAACGUACGAUGGAGGCUCGAUCCCAUGGAGCAUGUCUUUGUAUUCCGGGCCUAGAUGGCCCUCUAUGGUGCCUCCGAUGUGCUGAUGUGCCGAGUGUUUCCGACCACUCUGCGUGGCCCGGCGUGGACAUGGUUCAGCCGGCUGUGUCAAGCUUCAGUCUCGUCCUUCGACCAGGUGGUCGAGGAAUUUGAGCAAAGCUUCCUCACCGGCGCACGGCCCAGGCCCUCCAUGGCCACUUUGCUUGCACUAUCUCAGCACGAGGACGAGUCGCUCUCUCAGUUCGUGGCACGGUUCACACUAAGAUCCGAGGUUUUUCAGAUACUCACCCUUCUCUAAUCUUGCAAGCCUUUAUGAUGGGUCUUAAACCUUUAAGGUUCUUAUGGUCGUUGAUCGAGAAGCCGCCAGCGACCAUCUCUGAGAUGCUUCUACGUGCCAACCAGUACAUUGCCGUCGAGGCUUUAGUGGCGGGGAGGCACGUGGAAGGCAAGAAGCUCAGGAUGGAGCUGUCUCGAGGAACGGCCUCGGCGUUCCCGACGCCUCCCCGCCGGGGGCUCAACCGACAAGAGCUGCUACUCCCAAGACCCCCACCUCUCCCCCUAAACACAUCCCGUUCCGAGAUCUUCCUCUAGAUCAAAGAGACGAGCCUCUUGCAGCAGCCUUGCCCUAUGAAGGCCGCCCACAGAGACCAAUCUAAAUACCGUGGGGAUCCGUCGGCACACCCCGGAGGUGGGGGAGAAGUGAUAGGGCAUAUUUUGGCUCUAGAUGAAUCACCAACAAAUGUCACAAACCAAUAGCCACGAACGCAAUGCCAUGCGCCACCAGAACCACGGGGUGCAUGCCACGUCAAGUUCGGUACUAUGUGAUUGUGCGACUUGACCACCCCAAGAGCUCGGGGCGGUGUCGUCUACUUUUGGGACAGUGCCGUCUGACGCCACUCAAGCACCCCCAAGGAUGCCAUCUCGUCAAAGAAGUUAUCCCACCCCCAUGAAAGUUAGCGGCCACGCCGAACUGAGGCACAACCAACUCUCGCACGCAAGUAUAAAUACCCCCGUCCGAUCCCGAUGAGAGAAGAAAAAAAGGAGGAAGAAAAAACAGGGGAAUCCGAACUAAUCUAACUUGCUUGUCGGUGGGGCCAAAGUCGAGAGACACUCGACGAAGACCGUUUUGCAGGGAGGUGAUCGCCACUGAGCUGCGAGCGUCUCCACCCUGAAGUUGUCACCUAAUGCGCAGAGGAGGGUGGUCCAGUGGUUCGGAUCCCAACCAGCGCCGGCCUGCAUCUCCCAUCUCAAGGGUGUGCCCACGUCGCGGGGAAAGAUUGCCAACUAUCCCGGGGAUGAGAGGACACAUCUCGCCAGAAGCGACGCUCAGGUCGGCUAGCUUUGGAGUGCUAACCCCCAGCCGCUCGCGAGGACCCGACCGACCCUACCGCCUCAACCCUCGCUCGUAACGCUCGAGAGGCGCAACCAUCUCAUCAUCCUACUCAUUCCACUAGAAGUUUCCGACGUCGGUCCGUGGACCAAACUGUGAUGUCUCAUCAGCCAUGGUACUUUUGUUCACUAACAGACAUCAAACAUAUGGGAAUUUUACCUUCAUUAAUUAAAAUCCCAACUUGUUCAUGACCGGUAAUAUGCUAUGUGAUUAUUUGAUUAAUCUUAGAGACAGAGAUCAUAAAACAUCAUCUUAUUCCAGCAUAUGGCAAGACGAUGAUGACAUCCUACACACAGGCAAAUCAUCGUGUUUUAGUGCCAAGAUGAUGAUGAUGAUAUCCGCAUGACAUCGUACACAUAUCGCCUUGUCCGAUGGCAACUUGAUAUGGCCGGCCGCCGGAUGGCGCGGGCGCCCGAGCAUGUCGUCCGUGAACGGGUAGAACUUGACCUUGCUGCCGCAGUUGCUCUUCCUGGCGAAGGGACAACCGAUGAUAGACUUGCCGUCGGCGGAGACGCAGAUGCGGACUCUGGAGAGCAGGUAUUCCCGACUCAGCACGCCCAUCUCCGUGGUGCACUCCACCACCGCCGAGAACCCGAUCUUGGGCACCAGCGCGUCCUCGAUGUCCUCCAAACUGUAGCUCUUCGUCUCCGACGGGAUGAUGGCUUGAGAUCAGGAACCGAUCCAUGCGUUAGCUGCAGACACUUGUAAGCUCGAGGUCGGCAUGCAGGGCAGGGCUGCUUACCUUUGGAGCCGAGGGCAUGGAGGACGUCGGCUCGAGCCCGGAGCUGAAGCGCCCGGCCGAAGUAAUUCACCUCGCUGAGGCUGGUACAGUUGCCGAAGGUACACCAGGCGGCCUUCCACACCUGCUUCCCGUUCUGGGCUGGGCAGCUCAAGCUGGGCCAGUAGGCGUACAAGUCGUCCAACAGAUCGACAAGCUGUGGCAUGAGCAGAGUGAUCAGUGUGGGUCGGGAGCAGCGGAGAUCAUCGACUGCAUACAUCUAAUCUGGCCUAUUACCGGGUUUAUCAAGAAGCGGCAGUUGGGUUCGCACUUGGCGACGAGCUUGCCGGUGGCGCUGUCGUAGGUCUCCAUGGUCUCCACCAGGAAGUCUGGCUCGGGGUUGUCGAUGAGCGGGUCAACGCAGCAGGCCGGCUUCCCGGUCCACCCUGGCUGGCAGCUAGUCCCCGGCCACUGCACGAGUCACGAUCCAUUAGACUUCAUUAGCAGUUCACCGCAGGAGUCAUCGUUUGCACAAGAAAGGCUUUCUGUAAAGCCGAAACAAAAGAGAGAGAGAGAGAGAGAGAGAGAGAGAGAGGAAUUAGGUACUAUGAGAGACAGGAUCAUGUAGUCGUAUGAAGCAGCUGCUAGCGCACAAGAGGCGGCACACAAGAGGAAGCAGAACGUGGGAAGAGCCUUUGAGCCAGCCAUUCUGCAGAGGUGGGGAGGAUGAUCGGGGGAGA